UUUUUGUUUUUGUUUGUGAAUUCUUGCAUCCGGUGACAAACAGGACUGUGGCCAUCUUUCCCACAUGAACACAAUCGUGGCCAUCUUUUCAAGAAUCGUGGAAUGAAUUAAGUCCAUGAACCGAGCUUUUCCUGAGAAAGACACAAGUAUUCUUGAACAAGCUUAUAGGCUUCAGACUACUGAAAUUACUAUGGAGAUACCAUCAUAAGGAUCAGAGAUUUCAAGGUUGACAUUGGAGGCCCUGCAAGUGCAUUCUGAGCAUUCUCUACUUCCCUUGUCAUGGGACAAGACCUUCACCUCAUUCCCCAUCAUUGCUGGCUUCUGGUUGCCGUUUCUCCACUCCACUCCAUUCCACUCCACUCCACCAGAAGCUCUGUGAGGUCACAGACCAUGCUAUGUUCUUCACCAAUAAACUGUUCUCAGUUCGUAAAGCAGUAAUGCAUGCGCACACGUGUAUAUAUGUGUAUAUAAUAAACGUGUAUAUAAAACGAAGUACUGAAUUAUAAACAACUUACUGAUACAACUAUUGCCUGCAAGAAGACACUGACAGGACCAACAGUUAAGGUCACGGAGCUGGUUGCUAACAACCUUCAUCCUGUUUCCCAUACCCUGGCACCAUGAUUAUCAUUUCUUUCAAUCUACUGAGAAGCAUCUUAUGGCCAGGACUCUACAUAAUAAAGUAGCAAAGAUCUCUAGAGACUUCAUCAAGAUCCUUUGAACACCUUCACCAUAAUAUUUCUGGAGAUAUUGUGGCCAAUAGACUUCCUGGGCUCCUCCUGCCCAAACUCUGUUCAACCCUCACACUACACUAUUCAGCUGAAUCUAACUUCAUGAUACCCAGACAUCAAGAAACCAAAGAGAGCCCUACUUGCCAUCUGUCCUGUAUAGAAGGCUCACCAAGGGAUUCAGGGCCAUUAUAGAGAAGACCACAUUACCUUCCAGGAGCAUCUCCUUUCUCAUCAAACCACACCUCCUCUCCAGACACGCCGAUGAAGGAGGACUUGAUG